ACUCCAGAGCAGAGUUUUGAGUAGGUGAUACCUUACAAUUUUCAUCAAGCAUGCACCAAGUGCCUACUGUGUGCAGAUAAGGUGGUGCGCUGGAAAGAGCACAAGCCGUAUAUGGACAGUGACCUGGAUUUGAAUCAUGCCUCUGCCACUUACCAAGCCUACUGUGGUGAAGCAAAAAGAAAACUUGUUGGGGAAGGAGGCCAUAGUGAAAGCCUUGAUUGUGACCUUCUUACUGAGAAGCAAAGAUGACAGGCGAACAAGAGAAGACAGAAAGAAUGAGGUCACUUCCAUAAUCGGACCAUGCAUAUUUCCAAGAUUCCAAGCUACCAGGCAGAGAUGCCAU